CUCACACACCCCGCCUGGCUUGGUGGUGGGGACCAAGGGGAUAGGAUGGAGUAUGGAGUCCUCGGCUCUGACACACCUCAGAGGAAAGGGGGAGACGUCUUGCGGCCUGUCUCCCCCUCCCGGAGACAAACGCUGCCACACGUGAACGUGGGGCUGCCGCUGGCGACUGGCCCAAGCACCCGUGUGGGUCACUGAAGACAGCACUGGAGGUGCCAUCUGCAGGGACAUGGCAGUCAUCAUUAAAUGAGCCAGAAGGAUAUUGUUUUGAUUGCUACGGAUUCUAAAUCUUCACGCCAGCAUUAGAAUCGAACCUCUUCCAAAUCCUGGGACAUCGAAGACCAGCGAGAAGCAAUAGCCGCACAAAUUAAUAUGUGCUCCUCUCGCUCUAAGGGGAUCUUCAAACCGGUAUCUCAUUGAAGAGUCAAAGUGUUAAUCCCCCCACAUUCCUGACAACGAGGACGCACACUCACUGAAGGCUGAUGGUGAGGGAGCGGAGGGUUUAGCUUUAAUACCUGUGAAGAAUGGCACCCAUAAAAAGCAGAAAACCGUCCAGUCUCAGGAAGGAUUAAUGCAAAUCCGGCUGGAGAAGCCACCAGGUGAGCCAAGGGUUCCCUGUGCAAGAACCCACGGAAAGUACUCUGAAGUGAACACGGAAGGUCUAAACACCUCCCUCGUUGCAAGUACUCGUGUGAAAUUCAAGAUAAAGGUUUAGUCUCAUCUUUGAAAACCAGUGUUUCCCCCCCUUUAAAGGGAAUGAGGAGUCCCCCUUCUCCCCCACGAAGAAAAGGAGCCACAUUAAUAUGUGUCUAUUCCCAUGACUCUUAUAUGAAUGCGAUCUCCAAAGCCUAGGGAUUUUCCACAAGAGAGCAGGCCCUUCUGGUUAGGGUUUUUUUUUUUAAGCUUAUUUAUUUAUUUAUUGAGAGAGAGAGAGCAGAGGGAGUGAGAACAUGAGUAGGGAGGUGGGAGGGGCAGAGGGAAAGGGAGAAGCAGGCUCCCCGCUGAGCAGGGAGCCCGAUGCGGGGCUCGAUUCCGGGACCCUGGGACCAUGACCUGAGCCGAAGGCAGACGCUUAACGACCGAGCCACCCAGGUGCCCCUGGUUACGUUUCUUAUUAGAGGGGUCGUCUGCCGCACAGAGCCAGAUGAGUGUCAGAGAGCAGGUGCACCAGGCAUGCAAAUGAGCACAAACGGUGUUACAUAAAGCAUUUGAGAAGUUAGCUCCAUGAGGACGGUGGACUCCACAAGACGACUCGACUGGUCUGACGCAGACACAUGAAAGCAUAGCUUUGAUUCAAAGCUGGAAACCUUCCACAGGAGCCUCACACCGCUGGAAGCUGUACGGAGGCGGGCUAAGGUCAAUCUGGGGCGGGGGGUGGACAGGGGGGUCAACGCGGCUGUCCUCAUCCUCGGUCCUAAUGCUCAGUGAGAGCGAAGGCCUUCUGGUAGGUCUCUUGGUUUUCACGGCUCUGUAAGAACUCAAUUUUAUUCACACCUAGAAUGAAGUGCGUAUGUGUGUGUGUGUGUGUGUAUAAAAAUGUGAAGCUUACUGGUAAUUUUACCAGUAGCUUUCCUCACAAAGAAUUAAUUCAUUUAAUUUUACAGUCUGAAUGUUCUAUAAAUAAAUUACUGUACAUCACAUUAGAUGUUUUCAUUCUGUUGUUUGGCAGUGUUUUAUGAUGAGGAUCACAAAGCAGAAUUGUCGUUAUGAGAAAUACAUGUUAUAGGUGAGAGUCAUUAUGUGUAAGUAUUGGUGUUUUGCUUUCAAUUCUACUUUGAUUGUCCUUGUUGAAAAACUUCCAUUAUAUUUUUAUUAGAGCUUGCGUCUCCCAUAAAAACCCCAAACUGUUGCUUUUCUGUGUCCGACGGAAUCCUCAUGUCUGCUUUCUUCAAGAUUCUGAUUCCUAAGGAGGAAUCUUAGCCACAGCCUGGCGAAUUUCAACAGUUUUAAACAAUAUACAACAUCAACGCCUUUUACUAGAAAGUGACAGUGGGGUUCAAACCUGAAAUCAAAUACUUCUGUAUUCGUAUCCUAGGACUGCUGUCACAAGGCACCGGGAGCUGGGUGCCUGAAAACAGAAAUGGAUAUCGCCCAGUUCUGGAGGCUGGAGGUCUGAAACUGAGGCAACAGCUGGGCUGGGGCCCUGGAAAUCCCAUGGGGAGCAUUCCUUGCUGCCUCCUGGCCUUUGGUGGUUUGCUGUUGGUCUUUGGUGGUCCUUAGCUGGAUCUUCUUAUAAGGACACCAGUCGUAUUGGAUGGAUCAGCAACCCCCCCCCACCCCGCUUCAGGAUGACCUCGUCUUCUUUUUUUAAUAUUAUUUUAUUAUGUUGUUAGUCACCAUACAUUACAUCAUUAGUUUUUGAUGUAGUGAUCCACGAUUCAUUGUUUGCGUAUAACACCCAGUGCUCCAUGCAGAACGUGCCCUCCUUAAUACCCAUCACCAGGCUAACCCAUCCCUCCACCCCCCUCCCCUCUAGAACCCUCAGUUUGUUUCUCAGAGUCCAUAGUCUCUCAUGGUUCGUCUCCCCCUCAGAUUUCCCGCCUUUCAUUCUUCCCCUCCUGCUAUCUUCUUCUUCUUCUUCUUCUUUUUUUAAACAUAUAAUGUAUUAUUUGUUUCAGGGGUACAGGUCUGUGAUUCAAAGUCUUGCACAAUUCACAGCACUCGCCAUAGCACAUACCCUCCCCAAUGUCUAUCACGCAGCCACCCCAUCCCUCCCACCCCCACCACUCCAGCAACCCUCAGUUUGUUUCCUGAGAUUAAGAAUUCCUCAUAUCAGUGAGGUCAUAUGAUACUUGUCUUUCUCUGAUUGACUUAUUUUGCUCAGCAUAAUACCCUCUAGUUCCAUUCACGUUGUUGCAAAUGGCAAGAUUUCGGGUUUUUUUGACGGCUGCAUAAUAUUCCAUUGUAUAUAUAUACCACCUCUUCUUUAUCCAUUCAUCUAUUGAUGAACAUCUUGGCUCUUUCCAUAGUUUGGCUAUUGUGGACAUUGCUGCUAUAAACAUUGGGGUGCAUGUACCUCUUCGGAUCACUACGUUUGUAUCUUUGGGGUAAAUACCCAGUAGUGCAAUUGCUGGGUCAUAUGGUAGCUCUAUUUUCAACUUUUUGAGGAACCUUCAUACUGUUUUCCAAAGUGGCUGCACCAGCUUGCAUUCCCACCAACAGUGUAGGAGGGUUCCCCUUUCUCCUGCAGGAUGACCUCAUCUUAACAUAACUAAUAAUAUCUGCAACAACCCUAUUUCCAAAUAAGUUCCCAGUCUGAGAUGUUGGGGGUUCAGACCUCAAUAUGUAUGUUUUUUUUGGGAGGGUUACAAUUCAACCUUUCACAACAUCCUAUUACAAAUUUUUUUUUUUUAUAUCCAAAGGUGAAAUUUUACUGGAGUUUUAAUGAUAUUAUUCAGAUAUUGGAAAAAUUUGCAUCACAAGAUUUUUUUUAUCAUAACUAAUAUACAACUAAAUUUUAAUUUUAUAUAUGCCAAUAACAAUGUAUGUUUGGUUUAUGAAUGAUUAAUUUUCAAAUAAUAUAUUUUACUGCUUAGAUUUGUAUUUCCAAAGGCUAUUGUACAAACCAUUAAGAAAUAACUUAUGGAAAGAAUCUUGUGAUAUAGAUUACUACAAUCAGUAAAGUCCAGAUUAAAAUGAUGU